UGCUUACGUUGCUUGAAUACUGAAAAUUUCAAUUUAGUUACAAGGUCUACAGAAAUCCUUUGGCAGUGUUCUCGAGUGUGUAUCUACGAAUCUUGCCAAGAGCCUUUAAUUUUUAAAACAAAAACUGUUGCGCUUAGCAUUACAGAUAUAAUGAGCUUGUUGAAUCUACGGUGAAUAUUGCAUUGGCUGCAAUGUAUUAUUUAGAACAUUUUUAAUAAGUAAUGGGUUAUGGCACAUACUAAACUAUUGACGAAAGUGUAUAUAGAAUACGUGACGACAUUUCUAAUACUGGAGAGGAACACAUUUUCAGGAAAAUAAAUAGUGGCUCGCACAGAACGCGAAUGUGGGUAUCGAUGUAAUCGGUAAACUAUCCAAACUAUUUCAAUGCUUGAUUCAAAUACUGGAUAACGUAAAUGUGGCAAUCAAGAGAUAAAUCUUUUACCAUACGGCUUUUAAGCAAUUUUCCAGACAGAUGUGGGGAAAGUUCCUGUUCCGGAUAUCUAGAAAUUAAAUGCAAAUAUCGGAUGUUCUAUGCUCAAGAAUCUUUCUGCAUAUCAAUCAGCCAGAGAACAAACUAUGUACAUACAUUAUACAAUACAUGUGGGCAGCAUGUUCAUAUUUGCCAAUAACUAUCAAUUUUUUAUGAAAUGCAAUUUGAAAUCUCAUUCCGUAUAGUACGUCUUUGGUCAUGCAGUUAAGGGGGAUCUCACACGGUUCAUUUAUGAGCGUUUGCAGAGGUUUCAUAGAAAAAUUCCCCAGACUUUGGUAAAUUAUACAUUGAUCUCACUUUUCAUACGUAGAAUUUUGCGUUAUGGAAAUAAAAAUUCGUUAUAUAGAAACAUAGAAUUAUCCUAGGAAUUAUCCUGCGUCUUUCCAACAAAAAAAUGGAAAAGAUGUGUACGGAAAUACGGUCGUGACAAUUUUUCCACGAAACGUGUACAGUGUAUGGAUUGUAUGAAUUUUACUUGCUGUAGUGUAGCGCCGCGCAACACGAGUUCUAAAACAGUUUGGUCAUUUUCUGGGAAAGGAAUAUUUCGUUUGUCAAUUCUGAAUCAGGGAGUACUUGCAAGGAUUAACAAUUUUCGUUUAAAAUAUCUUCAUUUAAUGAUUUAAGUGUAAAUUGAGAACACUUCACUCCAGACAAAGAUAGUCUGGAUAGUGCCCAUAAAUUUGAUUUGAAUAAAAAAUAAAAAUAAUUA